UACGUAGGGGGCAAGCGUUGUCCGGAAUCAUUGGGCGUAAAGGGUGUGUAGGCGGUUCCUUAAGUUUGCUGUGAAAUCUCCCGGCUUAACCGGGAGGGUGCGGUGAAUACUGAGGGACUAGAGUACGGGAGAGGAAAGUGGAAUUCCUGGUGUAGCGGUGAAAUGCGUAGAUAUCAGGAGGAACACCGGUGGCGAAGGCGGGUCUCUGGGCCGAUACUGACGCUGAGGAGCGAAAGCAUGGGUAGCGAACAGG
rnacentral:rRNA from 1 species